GAUCAUGGCUCAGGAUGAACGCUAGCGACAGGCUUAACACAUGCAAGUCGAGGGGCAGCACGGUGUAGCAAUACAUUGGUGGCGACCGGCGCACGGGUGAGUAACGCGUAUGCAACCUACCUAUCAGAGGGGAAUAACCCGGCGAAAGUCGGACUAAUACCGCAUAAAACAGGGGUUCCACAUGGAAAUAUUUGUUAAAGAUUUAUCGCUGAUAGAUGGGCAUGCGUUCCAUUAGA
rnacentral:rRNA from 1 species